AAUGGGCGAAAGCCUGAUGCAGCAACGCCGCGUGAGUGAUGAAGGCCUUCGGGUUGUAAAGCUCUGUCUUUUGGGACGAUAAUGACGGUACCAAAGGAGGAAGCCACGGCUAACUACGUGCCAGCAGCCGCGGUAAUACGUAGGUGGCAAGCGUUGUCCGGAAUUACUGGGCGUAAAGAAUGCGUAGGUGGAUAUGCAAGUCAGAUGUGAAAUACCCGGGCUCAACUUGGGUGCUGCAUUUGAAACUAUAUAUCUAGAGUGCAGGAGAGGAAAGCGGAAUUCCUAGUGUAGCGGUGAAAUGCGUAGAGAUUAGGAAGAACACCAGUGGCGAAGGCGGCUUUCUGGACUGUAACUGACACUGAGGCAUGAAAGCGUGGGGAGCAAA
rnacentral:rRNA from 1 species